GAUGAACGCUGGCGGCGUGCCUAAUACAUGCAAGUCGAGCGAACGGAUGAGGAGCUUGCUCCUCUGACGUUAGCGGCGGACGGGUGAGUAACACGUGGAUAACCUACCUAUAAGACUGGGAUAACUUCGGGAAACCGGAGCUAAUACCGGAUAAUAUAUUGAACCGCAUGGUUCAAUAGUGAAAGACGGUUUUGCUGUCACUUAUAGAUGUAUCCGCGCCGCAUUAGCUAGUUGGUAAGGUAACGGCUUACCAAGGCAACGAUGCGUAGCCGACCUGAGAGAGGGAUCGGCCACACUGAAACUGGGACACGGUCCAGACUCCUACGGGAGGCAGCAGUAGGGAAUCUUCCGCAAUGGGCGAAAGCCUGACGGGGCAACGCCGCGUGAGUGAUGAAGGUCUUCGGAUCGUAAAACUCUGUUAUUAGGGAAGAACAAAUGUGUAAGUAACUAUGCACGUCUUGACGGUACCUAAUCAGAAAGCCACGGCUAACUACGU
rnacentral:rRNA from 1 species